rnacentral:lncRNA from 13 species
AUGCUCACAUGCCUACUGACUCUAUUGAACGUAUUUACAAUAAGAAGACUGACCAAUUAACUAAAAUUAGCUCUAAUACCCUGAAGAUCAUCCCAAGUGCCCAAAAUGGGUGCGCGAACACACUGGACAUGCAGGAGCCAAAGCUACGUACAGGACAUGCCUGCUUCACCUUCACCUUCUGCCAUGAUUGAAAGUUUUGGGAAGCCUCCCCAGCCAUGUUUCCUAUACAGCCUGCAGAACUGGAUCCCCAAUUCCUGGACUAUGGACCAGUUCUGGUCUGUGGCUUGUUAGGAACUGGCUUGCACAGCAGGAGCCUGUUGAAGAUAUUAUACCACUCCCUCCUGGUCUGUAAAGUUUCUGCUGAGAAAUUUACUGAUAACCUUAUAAAUUCUCCGGUGUAUGUGGAGACUUCAUAUUUGAGAAAUGAAAACUUACAUUUAUGGGAGAAAAAAUAUGUCUUGGAUUUGCUUCAAAAUAAGCCAGGUUGCAGAUGGUAGUCUGAGAGGGACAGAAUGAGAGGGAGCAGGAGAAAGAAGCGAAUAAAUAAGAAUGCAUCUGGAGAAUGAGGCA